UGCAGGGGUAAUAAAGCCUGUCUCAUCUGGUUUGUCUUCAUCACUUUCUUCCUCUUCCUCUUCUUCUGAGGAUUCUUCAUCAGAUGGUUCCAGUUCCCCCCAAGGGGUCCGAUCAAUCUCUUCUUCCUCAGUCUUGGUCUGAAAUUCAGCAGCAUUGGUUCCAAACACGUCCCCAUAGAGCGGUUUCCCAGUCUCAUCCACUGGAGGUUUGCCCCAGCCACCAGCAUGGUACCCAAAGGAACAGCUCUCAGGGAUGGGCGAGUUCAGCCCAGGGAUUUUCAGGUUGGGAUACGAUGGGGGUGGUCCAUAUCGCUGCAUGGCAAUCAGCCAUGGGGGAGGGACCUUGUGGGCAUUUGGUCCUACUGGCAUCCCCAAGGAAAUCCUUAGCUCAUCAGACAGAUCUCCUGGCUUCUUCUCCUUCAGUCGUGUCUCGAAC
rnacentral:lncRNA from 1 species